UGGCUAACUCCGUGCCAGCAGCCGCGGUAAUACGGAGAGGGCUAGCGUUAUUCGGAAUUAUUGGGCGUAAAGGGCGCGUAGGCUGAUUAGUAAGUUAAAAGUGAAAUCCCAAAGCUUAACUUUGGAAUUGCUUUUAAAACUGCUAAUCUAGAGAUUGAAAGAGGAUAGAGGAAUUCCUAGUGUAGAGGUGAAAUUCGUAAAUAUUAGGAGGAACACCAGUGGCGAAGGCGUCUAUCUGGUUCAAAUCUGACGCUGAGGCGCGAAGGCGUGGGGAGCAAACAGGAUUAGAUACCCUGGUAGUCCAC
rnacentral:rRNA from 1 species